rnacentral:tRNA from 1 species
GCCUGGGUGGCUCAGUUGGUUGAGCGUCCGACUUCAGCUCAGGUCACGAUCUCGCGGUCCGUGAGUUCAAGCCCCGCAUCAGGCU